rnacentral:rRNA from 1 species
CAGUAGCCGCGGGAAUACGGAGGGGGCUAGCGUUGUUCGGAAUUACUGGGCGUAAAGCGCACGUAGGCGGCUUGGUAAGUUAGAGGUGAAAGCCCAGGGCUCAACCUGGGAAUUGCUUUUGAUACUGUGUUGCUUGAGUUCGGGAGAGGUGAGUGGAAUUUCCGGUGUAGCGGUGAAAUGCGUAGAUAUCGGAAGGAACACCUGUGGCGAAAGCGGCUCACUGGACCAUUUCUGACGCUGAUGCACGAAAGCUAGGGGAGCAAACAGGAUUAGAUACCCCUGUAGUCCCUGUCUCUUAUAC